rnacentral:rRNA from 1 species
UACAGAGGGUGCGAGCGUUGUCCGGAAUUACUGGGCGUAAAGGGCUCGUAGGCGGCCAACUAAGUCAGACGUGAAAUCCCUCAGCUUAACUGGGGAACUGCGUCUGAUACUGGAUGGCUUGGAUCCGGAAGAGGGAUGCGGAAUUCCAGGUGUAGCGGUGAAAUGCGUAGAUAUCUGGAGGAACACCGGUGGCGAAGGCGGCAUCCUGGGCCGGUAUUGACGCUGAGGAGCGAAAGCCAGGGGAGCAAACGGG